UCCUUGCUCCCUUUAAUCAGGGACCGCGCAACUCUGAAGCCAAUUUGAGGGGGCUCCCAGCGCAGCUGCGUCCGGAGCGGUAUGCCCAGAACACGUGAUUUGUCAUCAUUUUGAAGUUUGUAAAUCAACUUUUCUGUUUGAGCCGUUCCA
ensembl:ncRNA F32B5.11 ncRNA